UACGGAGGAUCCAAGCGUUAUCCGGAUUUAUUGGGUUAAAGGGUGCGUAGGCGGUUUAUUAAGUCAGUGGUGAAAGCCCGGAGCUCAACUUCGGAACUGCCAUUGAUACUGAUAGACUUGAGUAACAGAUGAAGUGGGCGGAAUGUGACAAGUAGCGGUGAAAAUGCAUUAGAUAUGUCACAGAACACCGAUUGCGAAGGCAGCUCAC
rnacentral:rRNA from 1 species